rnacentral:ncRNA from 2 species
CAGUCUGAGGAGCGCUGCAACGGGCCCUUCGGUCCGCCAGGCUCAGACACCUCCUAAAACGGCGCUCGCUGUAU